rnacentral:tRNA from 1 species
GCCUACUUAACUCAGUGGUUAGAGUAUUGCAUACGGCGGGAGUCAUUGGUUCAAAUCCAAUAGUAGGUA